GACAGAGGGUGCUAGCGUUGUUCGGAAUUACUGGGCGUAAAGGGCGCGUAGGCGGUCUGUUAAGUUCGGUGUGAAAUCCCCUGGCUCAGCUGGGGAACUGCGCUGGAAACUGGCAGACUCGAGUACCGGAGAGGAGAGUGGAAUUCCUGGUGUAGCGGUGAAAUGCGUAGAUAUCAGGAGGAACACCGGUGGCGAAGGCGGUCUGCUGGGCAGUUUCUGACACUGAUGCGCGACAGCGUGGGGAGCAAACAGG
rnacentral:rRNA from 1 species